UGGGGAAUAUUGGACAAUGGGGGAAACCCUGAUCCAGCAAUGCCGCGUGAAUGAAGAAGGCCUUAGGGUUGUAAAGUUCUUUCACCUGUGAAGAUAAUGACGGUAGCAGGAGAAGAAGCCCCGGCUAACUCCGUGCCAGCAGCCGCGGUAAGACGGAGGGGGCUAGCGUUGUUCGGAAUGACUGGGCGUAAAGGGCGCGUAGGCGGUUUUUUAAGUGAGGCGUGAAAGCCCUGGGCUUAACCCAGGAGGUGCGUUUCAGACUGAAAAGCUUGAGUGCGAGAGAGGAAAGUGGAAUUCCUAGUGUAGAGGUGAAAUUCGUAGAUAUUAGGAAGAACACCAGUGGCGAAGGCGGCUUUCUGGCUCGCAACUGACGCUGAGGCGCGAAAGCGUGGGGAGCAAACAG
rnacentral:rRNA from 1 species